rnacentral:tRNA from 1 species
GCCGGAGUAGCUCAUUGGCAGAGCAGUGGCUUGAAGAGCCUCGUGUAGUCAGUUCGAUUCUGACCUCCGGCACCA